UAUCCAGGUCGUAAAAUAAUGGGGAGAUAUGCAUUGCCUCAGGGCGGAGAUAUAGCAGUCAAG
rnacentral:SRP_RNA from 1 species